rnacentral:rRNA from 1 species
UACGAAGGGGGCUAGCGUUGCUCGGAAUGACUGGGCGUAAAGGGCGCGUAGGCGGCUUGCACAGUCAGGCGUGAAAUUCCUGGGCUCAACCUGGGGACUGCGCUUGAGACGUGUGGGCUUGAGUGGGGAAGAGGGUCGUGGAAUUCCCAGUGUAGAGGUGAAAUUCGUAGAUAUUGGGAAGAACACCGGUGGCGAAGGUGGCGACCUGGUCCUUGACUGACGCUGAGGCGCGAAAGCGUGGGGAGCAAACAGG